rnacentral:misc_RNA from 1 species
CGUCGUCUCAGUCCUCGCUUAUCCUUCUUCUAGACCUAAUGAGAUUCACUGGCCAGAAACUGAGAAAUGGCUUCAGCAAAGUUAUGCCCAGAUACAUCCAGGUCAAGAACACAAUGUACGUUUCCGGAUACUUGGAUAUCAGUGGCGCACACUUCGCUUUAAUGAUGAUACACGCCAAAGCACUGCUAAAGUGAUGGCAGCUUACCAACAAUCAGAACCUAAUUCUAUAUUCCUAAUGCAGCAGGCACAUUGUUUAGCUGUUCCAUAUCUGAAAAGCAUGGUGUCUGUUGGGAUGACUACUAUAGCAUCCUGUAAUUAUGACUUUGUGGAUGCUGUAUAUGGGAAGAAACAAAUGCGCAUUUUAUGCAUUGGUCAUGGUGGGGGAAGCUUACCAUUGUUUCUGGCUAGCAAAAUUCAAGG